rnacentral:tRNA from 1 species
AAUAAGAAAACAUUAUAGAUGUAAUUAGUUUCGACCUAAAAAAAGUAAUAUUACUCUUAUUA